rnacentral:lncRNA from 1 species
CAAGCAUAUAAAAUACCAUGUUAUUUUUAUGAAUAUGGUACAAAGUUAAGGUAUCAUGAUAUACAGUUAAAUAAAUAUGAUAUAUAAUUAUUUUAUUUUGAUACAUAAUUAAUUCAUUAUGAUAUAUAGUUAGUUUUAUUUUCAGAGAUUAUAGAUCAUGUCUUUCCGAGGUCGGAGCUGUCACAGCUGAGGAGAGAGCUCUGCAGGAGAGAGAGCUCUCAUGUAGCUAGCUCGCAUGG